rnacentral:rRNA from 1 species
UAUAUAUCUAACCUAUUUAACCCCGACCUCAGUAAUAAGACAAUAAAAGCAAAUCUCAUGUUCUCAUCUCACCACUCCACAUUACCAAAUACACUAGUACCGCAAGGGACAUAGCACAAUUACUAAACAACCAAAAUAACGCUUUGUACUUUUUGCAUCACGGCUUAGCAAAAACUAAUCAUAUCAGAUCUAUCCCGAAACCCUGUGAGCUGAACUAAUCUUGCUCAGCGCGAAGCAUUUUAUGUUGCAACAUAUUUGCAAAAGAUUAGCCCAGUGGCUACAUACCUUUCGCACAGGGUGAUAGCUGGUUUUCUGUGAACCCUGCAUUAGCAGGGCAAAAAAGCUAUUCAAAACUUUUUAUGCUCAAACAAGGAGGCCAAGCUCCCUUUUUUACCCUAUAUUCCUAAUAAAGCAAACGACUUAUAAGUAGGCCUUAUAGCAGCCACCUUUUAUGCAGUGCGUUACCGCAGCAAAGUCACCCCAUGCACAAAUUUCUAACUCGUCAACAUGGGCAAACCAACAGAAACUAGCCAUAAACUAAAAACCAGGCAAAUUAUUCUGCUAAGACUAGUACCCUUAUAUCCAUCUAUUCUCUUUCAUAAAACAAGUGCAAACCCCUAUUCAACUAAACAACCAAUAAAAUACUAGGAAGGAACUCGGCAAACAAGAACUCCGACUGUUUACCAAAAACACUGCCUCACGAAAACAAAAAUGAGAGGUCCAUCCUGCCCGGUGACCUACGGGUUAAACGGCCGCGGUACCCUGACCGUGCUAAGGUAGCGUGAUAAUUCGCCCUUUAAUUGUGGGCUUGUAUGAAAGGACAAACGAGAGUUCAACUGUCUCCCUAGUAGAACAGAAAUCUGUCAUUCAGGUGAAGAGACCUGAGUUUAAAUAAAGGACAAAAAGACCCCAUAGAGCUUUGUUAGAUACCGAUUAACUAUAGAAUACUCCUAUAUCUAUAGCUAACCGACAACUAACUUAACUGGGGCGGUUAAGGAAAAUCCAAAACUUCCGUCUAUAGUUCUAACAUGCACACCUAGGCAAGACAAGCCAAACCUAUAAAUGAUCCUUAUUCAAAGAUCAAAGGAUUAGCUACCUUGGGGAUAACAGAUUCAUCCCCCUUAAGAGUCCGCAUUGACAGGGGGGCUUGACACCUCGAUGUUGGCUUAGGAUAACCUGAGGGUCUAGCAGCAGCCCUCAACGGUAGGUUUGUUCAACCUUUAAAAUCCUACAUGAGCUGAGUUCAGACCGGCGUAAGCUAGGUCAGCUUCUAUCCUUAUUUAACCCAUCCCAGGCGUUACAAUUGUACGAAAGGACCUUGUUUCAAAAUAUUCUUUUCAUGGCCGAAACCAAUCCAGGCACCCUUCUCCUUCUCCCAAACCAGGAUAC